ensembl:lncRNA
GUUACAACAUCAAUACACGACAAGAGACAAUGGCAAAGACAUGGCUACUUAGACAAUGAGGGUCACAUGACCUGAACAAACCAAUGGGAAACAAGACACAUGACUAAGACAACCAAUCAGAACAUGACACAUUGAACAGAGGAACCAAUAGCAGGAAUACAAGAGGGUAAGGGAAGCUUGACACAAACAGCAAUCAAACUACAAAAUGAAAGACAUGAAAAAAAAGAACAUGAAACAAAACCCCAAAACAGACCUUACAUAUCCCCCCCUCAAAAUGGCGACUCCAGAUGCCUAAACCACCGAAAACAACAAAAGUCCAGGAGGGUGGUGAAGCAGAAGUAAUCCAGGGGGUGGGAUGGAGGGCCAGGCCCGUGAAGAGGAACAGGACCUGGAGUGUGGAGCAAUGGCAGGCCUGGAGCUAGGAGCAGUGGUGGAUCAGGAUCACGAGGCAAUGACAGACAAUGGAGCAGAGGGUGUCCUGGGCCGUGGAGCAGUGACAGACAAUGGAGCUGAGGGGGACCUGGGCCGUGGAGCAGAUCCAGAGCAGUAUGGAGCCAUGGCGGAGGAGGCCUAGCGGGGAGCCAUAGCGGUGCAGGCCGAGCGGGGCGGACAGGCGGUGCAGGCCGAGCUGGGCGGACAGGCGGUGCCUGCAGAGCCAUGACAGUACAGACAGUGAGUUCUUGAGCGGCCUCCUUGGCUGUGGCAGGACAGGCAGAGAGUUCGUGGAUGGUCUCUUUGGCCAUGGCAGGACAGGCAGAGAGUUUGUGGAUGGCCUCCUUGGCCUUCUCUUGAGGUUCUGCAGUGGACACCGCCUCCUCUGGAGGUACUGGAGUGGAUUUGCGGUCAGGAGAGGUCGCAGGAGCAGACUCGUGGACAGGAGAGGUCCCUGAAGCGCAGUGUGCAGCCCACACACUCAAAAUGGCAACCACCAUUACUGGAAGCACUGAGGUCGCGGGAACAGUCUCUGUGACAGCCAUGACAUGGCAAGACUCAGGUUUGGCCGGGAACUCAGUCAUGGUGGCAAACUUGGCCGGGGACUCAGGCGUGGCGGCCAUCUUGUGUGAAGGCUCUGGCUUGACAGGCAUGACAUAAGCAGACUCAGAAAUGGAAGCUCUGGAAUGGCGGCCAUGUCGUGACGAGGCUCUGGAAUGGCGGCCAUGUCGUGACGAGGCUCUGGAAGGGCGGCCAUGUCGUGACGAGGCUCUGGAAUAGGAUCAGACGUGAGCAGGCCCUGGGGUAGCAGAUAUGAGGUUAGCAGAUUCUGGCUUGGCAGUCAGAAAGAGAUCAGGCUUUAACUUGGUAGACAGUACAUGAGUAAACUUAGACUUAACUGGCAUGUGAGCAGGUCCUAGAGUAGCGGGCCUGACGUUAGCAGGCUUUGGCAAAGCAGGCAUGAUGUUAGCAGGCUUUGGCAUAGUAGACAUGAAGUGAGUAGGCUGUGGCUUGGCAGGCAUGGUGUGAGCAGGCUCUGUAGACUUUGACGUGACAUGAAUAAUCCCAAACAUGUUGAUUGGAAUGUGAAAUUGCUUCAUUGUAGUAGGCAUAACCUGAUGAGACUUAGGUAAAAUGCUGUGGUCCUCCUCCAUGACACCCAUAGUAAACUGUGAACCAGCCAGCAAAAGAGCAUGGUCAAUAUAUUCCUCCAGUGACCAACAAAUCUUUCCCCCAGGCAAAGGAGAACGAAUGGGUUCAUUUAAACCCACUCGAAAAAUGUCCUUAAGCGCGACGUCAUUAAAAGCCACCAGAUAACACAGUUCACAAAAAUCACUCACAUAAUCCUCUAUAGGCCUGUCACCCUGACAAAGACAGAGGAGCCGUGAAACUGCUGGGUUCAUUGUAGAGGUUGUGUAUUCUGUAAUGAGUCCACUGAAGGCGAGCGUAGUGAGAACCCAAGUUCAGUUUAUUUACAGGGUGGAAUCCAAACAUCCAAACAGAGACUUGGCAUUGACGUGGCAUUAACAAACUAGACUCACCGACAGCAGGUUAAAACAUCAAUACAUGACAAGAGACAAUGGCAAAGACAUGGCUACUUAUACAGACAAUGAGGGUCACAUGACCUGAACAAACCAAUGGGAAACAAGACACAUGACUAAGACAACCAAUCAGAACAUAACACAUUGAACAGAGGAACCAAUAGCAGGAAUACAAGAGGGCAAGGGAAGGUUGACACAAACAGCAAUCAGACUACAAAAUAAAAGACAUGAAAAUAAGAACAUGAAACAAAACCCCAAAACAGAACUUACAAUGUUUCACAAAAAUAGAAGUUCU